CAGGACGAACGCUGGCGGCGCGCUUCAAGCAUGCAAGUCGAACGAGAAACCCGGGCUUGCCCGGGUGGAGAGUGGCGAACGGGUGAGGAACACGUGAGGAACCUGCCCCGAAGACCGGGAUAACGCCGGGAAACUGGUGCUAAUACCGGAUGCCUUCGCCGGGUCGCAUGACCCGGCGAAGAAAUGGAUUCCGCUUCGGGAUGGCCUCGCGUCCUAUCAGCUUGUUGGUGGGGUAACGGCUCACCAAGGCAGCGACGGGUAGCUGGUCUGAGAGGAUGUCCAGCCACACUGGGACUGAGACACGGCCCAGACUCCUACGGGAGGCAGCAGCUAGGAAUCUUGCGCAAUGGACGAAAGUCUGAC
rnacentral:rRNA from 1 species